UACAGAGGUCCCGAGCGUUGUUCGGAUUCACUGGGCGUAAAGGGCUCGUAGGCGGCGUGUCGCGUCGGGAGUGAAAGACCGGGGCUUAACCCCGGUUCUGCUUCCGGUACGGGCAUGCUGGAGUGUGGCAGGGGAGACUGGAAUUCCUGGUGUAGCGGUGGAAGUGCGCAGAUAUCAGGAGGAACACCGGUGGCGAAGGCGGGUCUCUGGGCCAUUACUGACGCUGAGGAGCGAAAGCGUGGGGAGCGAACAGG
rnacentral:rRNA from 1 species